ensembl:lncRNA
CCGCUCAAGUUCAUCUGAAUACUGAUGAUGUUCACCUGUGUGCUUGUGUCAUAUGACUAGUGUAGGUUAGUAUUUAAGCCUGGGCUUUAGACAGGUUACUUUGUGAGGUAUUGUAUUCUUAGUGAGAGUUUAUUCAGGUUUGUUCUCCUGGGUUUCUGACCUUGAGAUUUUUCUCCUGUUUCAUGCUGAUUUUGGAUUUGCCCUUCUGUACCAUUGCCUGGUUUUUGGAUGUUUUUGACUUCUGCCUGUGUUUUGGACUCUGCUCUGCUUCUCCCUAUGUGGACAGAAUGUUGCAGCGCUGCCAGCUCGCAGGCCGAGGCCUCCAUGCACAGUGGAACUCUCGAGCUGGUUUACCGCUGCGGCGGUGCACACACGUUAUGUGACGUGACUGGAAACCAUGGCGACCACAAGUGGCUGUGCACUGUGUCCAUGGGCCAACUCGCCAGUGCAGAGCACAGGCCUCUGAGGGUCGGCAACUAAUCACAAGUCGCCAUGACUCACCGCUGACCCUCACUACAUGCCACAGACAUUGCCGGAAACUGAUGAUUUACAUAAGGCUCCCAGUAGGUUAUUUGGUGAUUUGGGAAGGAAAUUAGGAAAUUCCCCAUCAGUAUCACUUUGUGUUAAACAUUAAGUAAAGAUACAGUGAAAAAUCCUUUAACUGCUCAAAACUUUAGAAUCACUUGUCAUCUAUUUUUGUUUCAUAU